rnacentral:rRNA from 1 species
AGGAAUAUUGGUCAAUGGACGGGAGUCUGAACCAGCCAAGUAGCGUGAAGGAUGACUGCCCUAUGGGUUGUAAACUUCUUUUAUACGGGAAUAAAGUGAUCCACGUGUGGAUUUUUGUAUGUACCGUAUGAAUAAGGAUCGGCUAACUCCGUGCCAGCAGCCGCGGUAAUACGGAGGAUCCGAGCGUUAUCCGGAUUUAUUGGGUUUAAAGGGAGCGUAGGUGGAUUGUUAAGUCAGUUGUGAAAGUUUGCGGCUCAACCGUAAAAUUGCAGUUGAUACUGGCAGUCUUGAGUACAGUAGAGGUGGGCGGAAUUCGUGGUGUAGCGGUGAAAUGCUUAGAUAUCACGAAGAACUCCGAUUGCGAAGGCAGCUCACUGGACUGCAACUGACACUGAUGCUCGAAAGUGUGGGUAUCAAACAGGAUUAGAUACCCUGGUAGUCCACACAGUAAACGAUGAAUACUCGCUGUUUGCGAUAUACGGUAAGCGGCCAAGCGAAAGCGUUAAGUAUUCCACCUGGGGAGUACGCCGGCAACGGUGAAACUCAAAGGAAUUGACGGGGGCCCGCACAAGCGGAGGAACAUGUGGUUUAAUUCGAUGAUACGCGAGGAACCUUACCCGGGCUUAAAUUACAUUUGAAUAAUCUGGAAACAGUUUAGCCGUAAGGCAAAUGUGAAGGUGCUGCAUGGUUGUCGUCAGCUCGUGCCGUGAGGUGUCGGCUUAAGUGCCAUAACGAGCGCAACCCUUAUCUUCAGUUACUAACAGGUCAUGCUGAGGACUCUGGAGAGACUGCCGUCGUAAGAUGUGAGGAAGGUGGGGAUGACGUCAAAUCAGCACGGCCCUUACGUCCGGGGCUACACACGUGUUACAAUGGGGGGUACAGAAGGCAGCUACCUGGUGACAGGAUGCUAAUCCCAAAAACCUCUCUCAGUUCGGAUCGAAGUCUGCAACCCGACUUCGUGAAGCUGGAUUCGCUAGUAAUCGCGCAUCAGCCAUGGCGCGGUGAAUACGUUCCCG